rnacentral:lncRNA from 1 species
UAUAAAUCUUGGGGGAAAGGUCAUUGUUGGGUGAUGAAUGGUUGGUUACAAGUGGUUAGAAAAUUAUGCAGAAAAAUCUAUUCUUAUGUGUUUAAAGAGUUGAUUUUGCAUGAACAAAUGGUUGUAUUGAUGUUUAUGAUGUUGAUGGUUGAUUAUGGAGUGAUAUUAGACUCCAAAUAUGUUUGAAAACAUGUUAGAAGUGUUGAAUCUGUGCUGGGAAUCAAAUUUGGACGAAAUUGGGUAGAAAUUAUGAAUCUGGUUGCUGUCAUGGCGCCCCAGCGCCCCUGGUC